GCCUCGCUAGUGCAGUGGUUAGCACGCGUCCCGGUAGAGAGUGAAACGUGGGUUUCAACUCCAGCUUGAGGCU